AUAGUACUCCCUCCAUCCGGAAAUACUUGUCAUCAAAAUGGACAAAAAAGGAUGUAUCUAAAACUAAAAAACGUCUUGAUACAUCUCCUUUUAUUCAUUUUGAUGACAAGUAUUUCCGGACGGAGGGAGUAUAAG
rfam:Triticum aestivum genome assembly, contig: Triticum_aestivum_CS42_TGACv1_scaffold_433513_5DL